UACGUAGGGUGCAAGCGUUGUCCGGAAUUAUUGGGCGUAAAGAGCUCGUAGGCGGUCUGUUGCGUCGGCUGUGAAAACCCGGGGCUCAACUCCGGGCCUGCAGCCGAUACGGGCAGACUAGAGUUCGGCAGGGGAGACUGGAAUUCCUGGUGUAGCGGUGAAAUGCGCAGAUAUCAGGAGGAACACCGGUGGCGAAGGCGAGUCUCUGGGCCGAUACUGACGCUGAGGAGCGAAAGCGUGGGGAGCGAACAGG
rnacentral:rRNA from 1 species